rnacentral:misc_RNA from 1 species
UUUCCGUAGGUGAACCUGCGGAAGGAUCAUUACAGAGUUCAUGCCCUCACGGGUAGAUCUCCCACCCUUGAGUAUUUAUACCUUAGUUGCUUUGGCAGGCCGUGGAAACACCAUGGGCUCCGGCCUAUGCGUGCCUGCCAGAGGAAACAAACUCUGUUUUUAGUGAUGUCUGAGUACUAUAUAAUAGUUAAAACUUUCAACAACGGAUCUCUUGGUUCUG